rnacentral:rRNA from 1 species
UACGGAGGGUGCGAGCGUUGUCCGAAUCAUUGGGCGUAAAGGGCGCGUAGGUGGCCCGGUGAGUCUUUGGUGAAAGCGCGGGGCUCAACCCUGCGUCGGCCAGGGAUACUGCCGCGGCUCGAGCACUGUAGAGGCAGGCGGAAUUCCGGGUGUAGCGGUGGAAUGCGUAGAGAUCCGGAAGAACACCGGUGGCGAAGGCGGCCUGCUGGGCAGUGGCUGACGCUGAGGCGCGACAGCGUGGGGAGCAAACAGG